AACGAACGCUGGCGGCAGGCCUAACACAUGCAAGUCGAGCGCCCCGCAAGGGGAGCGGCGGACGGGUGAGUAACACGUGGGAAUUUUCCUCAAGGUACGGAACAACUCAGGGAAACUUGGGCUAAUACCGUAUGAUGCAGAGAUGCCAAAGAUUUAUCGCCUUGGGAUAAGCCCGCGUCAGAUUAGGUAGUUGGUGAGGUAACGGCUCACCAAGCCUGUGAUCUGUAGCUGGUCUGAGAGGACGAUCAGCCACAUUGGGACUGAGACACGGCCCAAACUCCUACGGGAGGCAGCAGUGGGGAAUCUUGCGCAAUGGGCGAAAGCCUGACGCAGCCAUGCCGCGUGAAUGAUGAAGGUCUUAGGAUUGUAAAGUUCUUUCGCUCGUGACGAUGAUGACGGUAACGAGAGAAGAAGCCCCGGCUAACUUCGUGCCAGCCGCCGCGGUAAAAC
rnacentral:rRNA from 1 species